rnacentral:rRNA from 1 species
AUUAAAAUAAUAAUUGAUAACAUAAGGGAAAAUAAUAGAUAUUACCUUAUUAUUAGUGUCGUCCAAAACUCGGUGCCAGAAGACUCGGUAAGGCCAGAGACAUAAACGUUAAUCGUCUUAAUCAGGCGUAAAGGGUUUGUAGGCGGCUUUUAAAUUUACUAUAAAUAAAAAUCAAAUAAUAAGUAAAGAAUAAAAGCUAGAAUCAAAUAGAGGAUAUAUGAAAGAAUGCUUAGAGUAGGUCCGAUAUCCUUAGAUACUAAGUAGAAUAUUAAAGGCGAAAGCUUUUUUCCAUUAAUGAUUGACGCUCAGAAACGAAGGUGAGGAUAGGAAAUAGGAUUAGAUACCCAGAAUACCCCUCACUGUCAACGAUGAAUGGUAGUUAUUAGUAUAAAUUUAUUAAUGGCAAUGUUAACACGAUAACCAUUCCGCCUUGUGAGUACAACUGCAAAGUUGAAAACAAAAAAAUUAGUCGGUUUCGGAGCAAACGAAGUGAAGCAUGUUAUUUAAUUCAAUAAUUCCGCAAAAACC